AAAUUUCACUUUUUCCUUCAUCAUCUGUACCGUCUGAGACAUUUUGGGUGUUUCCAACGAGUCUCUGUCCGAUUGUAGGUCACAGGGGCCAGCAGCGUUGCAUUGGAGUUAUACUUCCCGGAUCAACGUGGGAGCUGUUUGCAGAUGGAGUUUUGAUUCCAUAUUUUCUGGUGUUUAGGUCUACUAUUUUGUUUUGUUUUUCUCUUCUUUUUGGAUUUGAGUUUAACCAACUCUACUGACCAACGCGAAUUGUAUUAGCCGUUGAGAAACUUCACGAAAGGUGGCGUGCAACUAUCGUUUCAAUCUAAAAGAGGAGCCGCCGUGUCCGUUUCACCUGUGUAUUCAAACGGUGAAUCAGAUCGUGAGUUGAAUAGCCCAGUGUUCAAAUCGAAAGCGAAAUUAAUGAAUUCGUGUCAGAGGUUUCGGAAGGAGAUGAUUUUCCGAUGUGGGGACAAGUAGUUGUUACAACUGAACGGACGAUGAACUCAAAUUUUCCCGGUCUAACGGGGAAAAAAAAAACAAGAAUUAAAGGUGACAUCAUUUGAUGUUUUUUUUAAUAUUUUUUGCUGAAUAUGCAAGAGAAAAAAACGCGCAUGACGUCGGCCUCUAUACCAUAAUCGGGUUGUACGAAAAAUUGAAUGUAGGCCAUGUCCGUGCUCGGGUGAAAGGGGGAAGUUGCUUGUGAACACGCAAAAUACGAGUUGAGGUCAUCCAAUUGCUCAUUACCAUACAGGGGGGGGUGUUUGAAGAAUGGCCAAAACUACAAUUGCUCUAUUGACACAAUCCACAUUCAUUUUUCGUAAAUGUUAAUAAUCAGAUUUUCCCCCGAAACGAAUUAGAUCCAAUUCAAUUCAACUUGAUUUUGAACGCGGUCAACAAACACAAAGCUGUGUCUUCCUUUCAAGUAUAACUACAAUAAUAACAAACAAAAAGGAAUGACGGAUCGUGAAAUGAAACUGAAUAAAAGUUCCUACCGCAUUUUCAGCCGGACAAGGAACGAUUUAUCACUUGCGGUAGUCCAUCAUUUCCAUAUCAAACACCGAAAUUAUACAGUCUGGAUAUUAAACAAUCCACACCGGAAAUGGGCGCGAGGAUAUACAAGAAAAGCGGCUACAAUAAAAAAAAAAAAAAAGGGUAACACAAGAAAAGAACAUCUUCAAAUCUAUUAUACUUACAUUUAUUAUUAUUUUUUGCUGCCAAGAAAACAGCUUGCAUCUUACCGUUUUCUGUUUUGAUCUCAUAAUUAUAUACAGAAACAACACAGCCAUGGGUAUAGACACCAACAGAAAAGACGGACGUCUUUUCUGUUGUUGUUGUUGUUUUGUUUACCUCUCGAUGAGGAAAUAAACGGCCGACACAGUCAGUUGAGCUCAUUAUUCAAUUGAGUCAUUACGGUGAGUUCGGUGGAGAGGGGGGGAGGUGACUCAUUGAAUAUUCGUGAUCAGGAGAGGGAAAGAGAUUCAAACAAGACGAAAGAUAAGCAACAAUAUACGAGAGAGGCAAGGAAGUUUGAGAUGAUGGUGCGUCACACAAACAUAACAAAAGUGGCCUGUUCAACAGCAGUUUGACAUACGAUCUAUCUACAUGGAAUAUUAAAUGCUGAUAGACCCUGCCUUGUUGGUGUAACUUUGUUUCAUAUACCUUAUUCCCUAUGCCUAUAACCAUUAGUUUUCUUUCUUAUUUCUUCAAGAAAACUAGACGUCAAAAUUGAAUUCUGUGCUUACACGUUUUGCAGUUGCGUCAACAAAAAAUCAGAGGGAAAACGGUCGAAACAAAAGAUGUUAAUCGCUUGUGUAUUGUUACGGGGGCAACCCCUGCUCCUUUUUCUCCCUGUUGAUUGGAUGAUAACAAGACGUGAGCUUUUCGUUGUUGUACUCUCCCACUCACUCUCCCCCCCCCCAAUUUCUUAGCUGUAAAGUCGUAAUGUCCAUAAGAGUCCCUCUUUUUCGACUGCUUCUCCGGAUGGGAGGCUUAUAUAUAGGAAAAGAAAGAGAAAAAAAAAGGAGAUCCAUCAUCCACGUCCAGCGCGGUGGGGGUGUGUUUUCUUUUUCUAUUUCUUCUCUUUUAUUUUUUAUUUUUUUCUUGUUCUUUUUCUAUUCUCAACUGUAUGUGCAAUAGAAACCAUCAAGAAUGGGAACAUCAUUGCCGUUGUAGACACUGAUACUGUACACAUUCUCUUAUAUUGAUGAUAUAUACAUAUUCCCAGGUC